CAGUAGCCGCGGUAAUACGUAGGUGGCAAGCGUUGUCCGGAAUUAUUGGGCGUAAAGGGCUCGCAGGCGGUUUCUUAAGUCUGAUGUGAAAGCCCCCGGCUCAACCGGGGAGGGUCAUUGGAAACUGGGAAACUUGAGUGCAGAAGAGGAGAGUGGAAUUCCACGUGUAGCGGUGAAAUGCGUAGAGAUGUGGAGGAACACCAGUGGCGAAGGCGACUCUCUGGUCUGUAACUGACGCUGAGGAGCGAAAGCGUGGGGAUCAAACAGGAUUAGAGACCCCGGUAGUCCCUGUCUCUUAUAC
rnacentral:rRNA from 1 species